rnacentral:rRNA from 1 species
CAGCCGCCGCGGGAAUACAGAGGGUGCAAGCGUUAAUCGGAAUUACUGGGCGUAAAGCGCGCGUAGGUGGUUUGUUAAGUUGGAUGUGAAAGCCCCGGGCUCAACCUGGGAACUGCAUCCAAAACUGGCAAGCUAGAGUACGGUAGAGGGUGGUGGAAUUUCCUGUGUAGCGGUGAAAUGCGUAGAUAUAGGAAGGAACACCAGUGGCGAAGGCGACCACCUGGACUGAUACUGACACUGAGGUGCGAAAGCGUGGGGAGCAAACAGGAUUAGAUACCCCGGUAGUUCAUGUCUCUUAUAC